rnacentral:rRNA from 1 species
GAUGAACGCUGGCGGCGUGCUUAACACAUGCAAGUCGAACGGAAAGGCCCAAGCUUGCUUGGGUACUCGAGUGGCGAACGGGUGAGUAACACGUGGGUGAUCUGCCCUGCACUUCGGGAUAAGCCUGGGAAACUGGGUCUAAUACCGGAUAGGACGAUGGGUUGGAUGCCAUUGGGGAAAGUUUUUUCGGUGUGGGAUGAGCUCGCGGCCUAUAAGCUGGUUGGGGGGGGAAUGGCCUACCAAGGGGUCGACGGGGGGCCGGCCUGAGAGGGUGUACGGCGACAUUGUGGCAGAGAGACGGCCCAGAGUCCUACGGGGGGCAGCAGUGGGGAAUAUUGCACAAUGGGGGCAAGCCUGAUGCAGCGACGCCGCGUGGGGGAUGACGGCCUUCGGGUUGUAAACUCCUCUCGCUAGGGACGAAGCGUUUUUGUGACGGUACCUGGAGAAGAAGCACCGGCUAACUACGUG